AUACAGAGGGUGCAAGCGUUAAUCGGAAUUACUGGGCGUAAAGCGCGCGUAGGCGGUUUGUUAAGUUGGAUGUGAAAGCCCCGGGCUUAACCUGGGAGGGUCAUUCAAAACUGGCAGACUAGAGUGUGGUAGAGGGUAGUGGAAUUCCUAGUGUAGCGGUGAAAUGCGUAGAGAUUAGGAGGAACACCAGUGGCGAAGGCGACUGCCUGGACCAACACUGACGCUGAGGUGCGAAAGCGUGGGUAGCGAACAGGAUUAGAAACCCGGGUAGUCC
rnacentral:rRNA from 1 species